GGGCCGUUAGCUCAGUCGGUAGAGCAGCUGGCUUUUAACCAGUUGGUCGGCAGUUCGAGUCUGCCACGGCCCACCA
rnacentral:tRNA from 1 species